rnacentral:rRNA from 1 species
UACGGGGGGGGCAAGCGUCGUUCGGAAUUAUUGGGCGUAAAGGGCGCGUAGGCGGCCUGCUAAGUCGAACGUGAAAUCCCCGGGCUCAACCCGGGAACUGCGUCCGAUACUGGUUGGCUUGAAUCCGGGAGAGGGAUGCGGAAUUCCAGGUGUAGCGGUGAAAUGCGUAGAUAUCGGAAGGAACACCAGUGGCGAAAGCGGCUUCCUGGUCCAGCACCGACGUUCAGGCACGAAAGCGUGGGGAGCAAACAGG